rnacentral:rRNA from 1 species
GACGAACCGUGCGAACGUUGUUCGGAAUCACUGGGCAUAAAGGGCGCGUAGGCGGCUUUUCAAGUCAGGGGUGAAAUCCGGCAGCUCAACUGUCGAAGUGCCCUUGAUACUGAUGAGCUCGAGGGAGGUAGGGGUGUGUGGAACUUCCGGUGGAGCGGUGAAAUGCGUUGAUAUCGGAAGGAACGCCGGUGGCGAAAGCGACGUCACUGGACCUCUUCUGACGCUGAGGCGCGAAAGCUAGGGGAGCAAACGGG